rnacentral:rRNA from 1 species
UACACCUACGGGAGGCAGCAGUAGGGAAUCUUCCACAAUGGGCGAAAGCCUGAUGGAGCAACGCCGCGUGGGUGAAGAAGGUCGUCGGAUCGUAAAAUCCUGUUGUUAGAGAAGAAAGUGCGUGAGAGUAACUGUUCACGUUUCGACGGUAUCUAACCAGAAAGCCACGGCUAACUACGUGCCAGCAGCCGCGGUAAUACGUAGGUGGCAAGCGUUAUCCGGAUUUAUUGGGCGUAAAGGGAACGCAGGCGGUCUUUUAAGUCUGCUGCGAAAUCCUUCGGCUUAACCGGAGUAGUGCAUUGGAA